CUUCAUAUAAGCUUGCUGCAUACCUUUGAUUAUAAUAUCUCAUUUCUAACUCUUGUUAUUGUCAGGAAACCAUUUUGCUAUUUUUAGUAAAAGUGACCUUAACCUUGAAUCAAGGGAGUCCAAACGCAAUACAAACCCAGGUUUUCAUAUUAGCUUGCUCGAUACCAAGUUUGAUUACAAUUAUCUCAUCCCUAAUUCUAGUUACUGUCCAGAAACCAUAUUUCUAUUUUUAGUAACAGUGACCUUGAUCCCAGGGGUCCAAAA